ACGCUGACUAGGGAACUAGGUUUCCUGAGGACCCAGGUGAUGCCUGAGGAAAAGGUGAAGAGACGGUCGUCCGCAACACGGAGGACAGCGGCUCCUAAUAUAACCUUCCCACAGUGCCUCUAAAUGACAUGUGGACUUUGGGUGAACUGGAUCUGGGUAAUCCACAGGACCCAAGACAUGGUAGCUACUAAUAUACUCUUCCCACGGUGCCUCUUAAUACCAUGCG